AUGGAGAAGGCGAGGAGGCCUCAGGUGCCGGCGUUCGGGGAGUGGAACUACUACUACCACUACGACGAGCCGGCGGCGGCGGCGGCGUGGUACGCCAUGCCGGAGCCGCAGGCCUGCAGCGACGUGUGGUUCAAGUACUCGCCGCCCCCGCACAAGCCCGCGCCCAAGAAGCAGCAAGCGAGGCGGCGGCGGCCGGCGGACUGCGACAGCGUGUCCCGGGAGCGUCAGCACGCGAGGCCGUCCUUGGACGCCGCUGCAACGGCCAAGGGCGGCACCUCCAGGCGGGUGGUGCGGCCGGUCGACGCGGACCUGUACCAGGUGCCGCCGCCGGAGUUCACCCCCAACCGGCGGCCAAGCAAGCAGAGGAGGAGCCUGUGGAUGAUGGGCUGCCUGGGCUGCGUCGCCUGA
rnacentral:rRNA from 1 species